rnacentral:misc_RNA from 1 species
GAAUACGUUAAAAGAAAGCUUCCCCCUUUCCCUGACGCCAUUACAGUUCUGAAAGUUGAUAGUGUUGGUCGGACGUCGCCUUGAUUCCUGAAAAUUAACGAAUAUUCCGGAAAAGGAUCCACUGACAAGUGCACUUCAAUCAUUUACAAGACGACUAGUUUGUCGAUGCGGAGCGGAGAGAAGAGCCAGGCGUUCAUCAACAACGACGACGGUAUACGACCGAGGAACUUUCCCGUUGGAUCCAGCGCUUUACCAAAGCGAAAAUUGCGUCGCGGAAGCAGCACGACUUGCGACGAGAGGUUUUACUUCACAAUGCCUUUAUUUUCGCCCAGUCUGAGGUCAAAUGCCGACAAGUGGAACGUCAAAAGAGGUGGAAGGAAUUGAAGCCGUUGCUGUUCUUGGAGACGUCAUCCACUUUCGGCGAGCAGGAACCAAACAAAAUGGCGGCCUUCCCCAAAAUGGCGGACGGCGUGCAGCAGCAAAUGGAGACUGCUGAAGAAGAAAUGGACAUGGAGAGGCCAUCUACCCCACUUCCUAGCGUGACGGGAGCUACCAAACGUCAUCGUUGCGGUUGCUUGCCUCUAACCAGAUGUGAAUGCGGUAGUGAAGAUUCCAGCAGCAGCCAGGCCAACAAGAAAUUCCGCCCCUCGUCACUUGAUGAAGAUGAUGAUCUGAAGAGUUUGGACCGUUUCCUUUCGUCUCUACACUGUAAUACGCGUCAAGUUGGUUAGAUUUUGCGUCGUUUUGCUGAUUUUUCUAAAGUUCUAGAACAUUUUAAGAUAUCUUAAUUUCUUUCCUGAUUGUCUACAUUGCGGCGCUUGAUUUUCGUCCAUUAGUGCUUUGUGUUAUGCCUGGGCUUAUUUUUGUCUUACAGUUGACUGGGAGAACAUCAUCGUCUACCAAAUGUGCCCAACUGAUUGAGACGUUGGUGAUUUCCAGCACCUUUUCAACCUCUGAACUGAGAGAACAUGGAACACUUGAUGCUGAUCAGAAUUUUUCCCGUCCUACGGUGAUUGAGCCCUGUGUGAUUGAGCCCUUAUCUUCGGGAACAGCCGGAAAUUGCACCUUUCAAUAUCUCACUUUAGUGCUCCUGAGCCUUGGCUUCAUCAAAACAAGAGACUGGUCUUUCCGAGAUUUUUCCUAGUCGGACACUUUCUCCCCAUGCCCAUGCAUGUCCAUUGGAGACGCUUCUGAUUCUUAAAAGGUUACGAAGUUCCUGAUGGCAAAUCCGUUUUUGUUUUUCUCUUUCCUCGCAGUCGUGAUAUUCAUCGCCUGUUUACAGAUCGUCUGGUUACCCCAACCCUGGGUGAGAUUGAUGACUGGGGGAGGGUUAAAAUUCAUGCAUUCUUUCCUUUUGUCAAUUCAGGCCAUAUACCCAGACAUGGGUUCUGGGCCUUCGGGCUAUGAUGGAAUGUUUCUCUCUUCCCAUCCAGUCGGUUCAACAACAUUGCCUUCCAUUCCGUUUUAAACUUAGCCAAAUUGGAAGAUCCUCCGGGUCCAUAUACGUUCUUCACAAUGUUUUGGUUACCUUUUAGUCUAACGGUAAGAUGAUAUUUGGGUUUAUUUGUUCAUGGUCAAAUUCUUGCUCCAGGAAGUCGCUCGUCCGUUUUAGGAUUCCCCGUUUUCUCCCAGAAAAUUCAAGAACCUACGCAUUCGUGAAUUUUUCGUUGUAUUGCCUGAAUAAUGAUCGGAAUAACAAAUUAUUCGUAAUUAGAAACCUUUAUAGGGAAAGGGCAAGGGCAAUAAUUUUUUCCAUUGUUCAAAAAGGAACGUGCCAACUGGCAUUGGAUGUGAUCUUUGAUUCAGGGGAGAUAGCGACCUAUUUCAACGGAAUUGUUGAAGCGAUGAGGUGACUGGUUAUCUUUUGAAACCGCAAUCCUGCUUGGUCUUGCUGAGGCGUGUACUUCAUAGAAGAACAACUGUAUUACGAAGUGACAAUGUUAAAAAUGUUGACGAAUAUUUUCCUCUAUACGCGCCACCUCAUGACGAAGGUAAAGAAACAAUGAAUGUUGGAAUUGGGAUAGGCUUCGGAAGUCUUCCUAAUCGAAGGUAAUACAAUGCAAUGCAAAUUUAUUUUUUUGAAAAUCUUCUUCCUACACAAAGAACGAUGAAUAAUUCCGAGGCGAUUCGCGUUAUAUGCUAAGCGUUGGAUAUUUCGGUUCUUCGAUUGCUUCUUGAACAAAAAUGGAAAUUCAGCGGUUUUCGCAAUACAGCAAACGCGAAAA